rnacentral:rRNA from 1 species
AGCAGCCGCGGUAAUUCCAGCUCCAAUAGCGUAUAUUAAAGUUGUUGCAGUUAAAAAGCUCGUAGUUGAAUUUCGGGACUAAUAUGUCGGUCGUACUUUGUACGUACUAGCAUUAUUGGUUUCUCCCUUCUGACGAACCACGAUGUCAUUAAUUUGGUGUCUUGGGAAAUCAGAACUGUUACUUUGAAAAAAUUAGAGUGUUUAAAGACAAGCUCGCGCUUGAAUACAUUAGCAUGGAAUAAUGAAAUAGGACGUUUGAUUCUAUUUUGUUGGUUUCUAGGAUCGACGUAAUGAUUAAUAGGGAUAGUUGGGGGCAUUAGUAUUCAAUUGUCAGAGGUGAAAUUCUUGGAUUUAUUGAAGACUAACUACUGCGAAAGCAUUUGCCAAGGAUGUUUUCAUUAAUCUAAGAACGAAAGUUAGGGGAUCGAAGACGAUCAGAUACCGUCGUAGUCUUAACCAUAAACUAUGCCGACUAGGGAUCGGAUGAUGUUAAUUUUUAAUGUACUCAUUCGGCGCCUUA